CACGGACAAUGGCAGCUAUGUUUCUCUUUCUCCUUCCUUUCCUUUCCCUCUUCUUUCCUUCCCCUUCCCUUUCUCUCAACCAAGAAGGACUCUACCUCCACCAAGUUAGGCUCUCACUCUCUGACCCUGACUCCGUUCUCUCUUCCUGGUCCGACCGCGACACCACCCCUUGCUCCUGGUUUGGCGUUAGCUGCGACCCUGUAACCCACUCCGUCACUUCCAUCGACCUCUCCAACUCCAACUUAAGUGGCCCUUUCCCUUCCCUCCUCUGCCGCCUCCAGAAGCUCACUUCCAUUUCCUUCUACAAUAACUUCAUUAAUGAUCCUCUCCCCC
rnacentral:misc_RNA from 1 species